rnacentral:rRNA from 1 species
GCCUUAGUACGGCGAGUGAGCGGCAAAAGCUCAAAUUUGAAAUCUGGUACCUUCGGUGCCCGAGUUGUAAUUUGGAGAGGGCAACUUUGGGGCCGUUCCUUGUCUAUGUUCCUUGGAACAGGACGUCAUAGAGGGUGAGAAUCCCGUGUGGCGAGGAGUGCGGUUCUUUGUAAAGUGCCUUCGAAGAGUCGAGUUGUUUGGGAAUGCAGCUCUAAGUGGGUGGUAAAUUCCAUCUAAAGCUAAAUAUUGGCGAGAGACCGAUAGCGAACAAGUACAGUGAUGGAAAGAUGAAAAGAACUUUGAAAAGAGAGUGAAAAAGUACGUGAAAUUGUUGAAAGGGAAGGGCAUUUGAUCAGACAUGGUGUUUUGUGCCCUCUGCUCCUUGUGGGUAGGGGAAUCUCGCAUUUCACUGGGCCAGCAUCAGUUUUGGUGGCAGGAUAAAUCCAUAGGAAUGUAGCUUGCCUCGGUAAGUAUUAUAGCCUGUGGGAAUACUGCCAGCUGGGACUGAGGACUGCGACGUAAGUCAAGGAUGCUGGCAUAAUGGUUAGAUGCC